rnacentral:tRNA from 1 species
UCUGUAGCUCAGUUGGUAGAGCAACGGACUGAAAAUCCGUGUGUCGUUGGUUCGAUUCCGACCGGA